UGUCCAGUGGCACCUUAGAGACCAACUAAGUUUGUUCUGGGUAUAAGCUUUCGUGUGCAUGCACACUUCUUCAGAUACCCAGCUUAUACCCAGAACAAACUUAGUUGGUCUCUAAGGUGCUACUGGACA